GGCGGUAUAGCCAAGUGGUAAGGCAAAGAUCUGCAAAACCUUAAUCCUUGGUUCGAAUCCGAGUACCGCCUCCA
rnacentral:tRNA from 2 species